GACGAACGCUGGCGGCGCGCCUAACACAUGCAAGUCGAACGGAGCUUAGAUUUUGAAGUUUUCGGAUGGACGAAUGUAAGCUUAGUGGCGGACGGGUGAGUAACACGUGAGCAACCUGCCUUUCAGAGGGGGAUAACAGCCGGAAACGGCUGCUAAUACCGCAUAAUGUUGCGGGGGCACAUGCCCCUGCAACCAAAGGAGCAAUCCGCUGAAAGAUGGGCUCGCGUCCGAUUAGCCAGUUGGCGGGGUAACGGCCCACCAAAGCGACGAUUGGUAGCCGGACUGAGAGGUUGAACGGCCACAUUGGGACUGAGACACGGCCCAGACUCCUACGGGAGGCAGCAGUGGGGGAUAUUGCACAAUGGGGGAAACCCUGAUGCAGCGACGCCGCGUGGAGGAAGAAGGUUUUCGGAUUGUAAACUCCUGUCGUUAGGGACGAUAA
rnacentral:rRNA from 1 species